rnacentral:rRNA from 1 species
UACGUAGGCAGCAAGCGUUGUUCGGAAUUACUGGGCGUAAAGGGCUCGCAGGCGGCCGACUAAGUCAGACGUGAAAUCCCUUGGCUUAACCAAGGAAUGGCGUCUGAUACUGGACGGCUUGAAUUCGGGAGAGGGAUGUGGAAUUCCAGGUGUAGCGGUGAAAUGCGUAGAUAUCUGGAGGAACACCGGUGGCGAAGGCGGCAUCCUGGACCGAUAUUGACGCUGAGGAGCGAAAGCGUGGGGAGCGAACAGG